AUUGAACGCUGGCGGCAGGCCUAACACAUGCAAGUCGAACGGUAACAGGAAGCAGCUUGCUGCUUCGCUGACGAGUGGCGGACGGGUGAGUAAUGUCUGGGAAGCUGCCUGAUGGAGGGGGAUAACUACUGGAAACGGUAGCUAAUACCGCAUAAUGUCGCAGGACCAAAGAGGGGGACCUUCGGGCCUCUUGCCAGCGGAUGUGCCCAGAUGGGAUUAGCUUGUUGGUGGGGUAACGGCUCACCAAGGCGACGAUCCCUAGCUGGUCUGAGAGGAUGACCAGCCACACUGGAACUGAGACACGGUCCAGACUCCUACGGGAGGCAGCAGUGGGGAAUAUUGCACAAUGGGCGCAAGCCUGAUGCAGCCAUGCCGCGUGUAUGAAGAAGGCCUUCGGGUUGUAAAGUACUUUCAGCGGGGAGGAAGGGAGUAAAGUUAAUACCUUUGCUCAUUGACGUUACCCGCAGAAGAAGCACCGGCUAACUCCGUG
rnacentral:rRNA from 1 species